UACGUAGGGUGCGAGCGUUGUCCGGAAUUACUGGGCGUAAGGAGCUCGUAGGUGGUUUGUCGCGUUGUCCGUGAAAACUCACAGCUUAACUGUGGGCGUGCGGGCGAUACGGGCAGACGUGGAGUACUGCAGGGGAGACUGGAAUUCCGUGGUGUAGCGGUGGAAUGCGCAGACGUAUCGAAGGAGGAACACCGGUGGCGAAGGCGGGUCUCUGGGCGAGUGAA
rnacentral:rRNA from 1 species